GACGUGACUCCGGCACGGGAAGGAAGCGACACCGGCCCGGGAAGCGCUCCCGGGGGGAAAAGGGGUUGGCCAGAGAAAGUGAAAGUGUAACAGUAGUAACAGCAGCAAUGAAAUGUCUCCCUGUGGAUUUUCUCUCAAGGCAAGAAGAGCCUCUCCUUGUAACAUCCUGCAAGCCUCACCACUUGGAAAAAAAUUUACAAUUUGAAAGAAAAUGGGGGAAAAGACUGAGUGUGAGGCUCUGCUACGGUCUUCAAAUGAAGAGCUUUUUUGGGCUAAUGAUGAGCUUUGCAAUGGUGGUAUUUCACUCAGUACUUCACUGAAGAUUCAACACUUUCCUGGAGAGGUUACACUGUGUGGAAUACUGGGUUGAAAACAGCUAAAAGGAGGGAAGAUUCCACAAUAUUCACCUUUGUCUCAGCACUUUCUCUGCCAGUGAAUGAAUCCUCAAACACAGAUUCAGCUACUGGUGUAAGCUGAAAAUUCUAUAUUCUAGACAUCUCUACUGUCCAAAUGAAAACAUAUCCAAAAAGAAAAAGGGCCCUGCUGUCUGGCAGCCUGUAGCUUCAAGGCAAGCUCUUGUUCAUGAAGCAUUAUCUGGAAUGUGACUGCAUGCUGCCCAGGCAUCGAAAUAAUACAGCAGAUACUCAACAAAACUGAUUUUUGAC